CCCGGGGGAGGCCACCCCGCCCUCCCCUCCUCUGUCCGCCCAGAGUUCAAGUAGUGGGAGAGGUUCCUGCAGGACUUUCCUGAGAAUUGAUGGAGUGACCGAGGCAGAGAGACCGGGAGAGGGACUCCGACCCUCCCAGAGCCCCGAGCCCCC